AGAUUGAACGCUGGCGGCAUGCCUUACACAUGCAAGUCGAACGGCAGCAUGAUCUAGCUUGCUAGAUUGAUGGCGAGUGGCGAACGGGUGAGUAAUACAUCGGAACGUGCCCUGUAGUGGGGGAUAACUAGUCGAAAGAUUAGCUAAUACCGCAUACGACCUGAGGGUGAAAGUGGGGGACCGCAAGGCCUCAUGCUAUAGGAGCGGCCGAUGUCUGAUUAGCUAGUUGGUGAGGUAAAGGCUCACCAAGGCGACGAUCAGUAGCUGGUCUGAGAGGACGAUCAGCCACACUGGGACUGAGACACGGCCCAGACUCCUACGGGAGGCAGCAGUGGGGAAUUUUGGACAAUGGGCGAAAGCCUGAUCCAGCAAUGCCGCGUGUGUGAAGAAGGCCUUCGGGUUGUAAAGCACUUUUGUCCGGAAAGAAAUGGCUCUGGUUAAUACCUGGGGUCGAUGACGGUACCGGAAGAAUAAGGACCGGCUAACUACGUGCCAGCAGCCGCGGUAAU
rnacentral:rRNA from 1 species